rnacentral:rRNA from 1 species
AGUGAACGCUGGCGGUAGGCCUAACACAUGCAAGUCGAACGGCAGCACAGUAAGAGCUUGCUCUUACGGGUGGCGAGUGGCGGACGGUUGAGGAAUACAUCCGAAUUUACGUUUUCGUGGGGGCUAACGUAGGGAAACUUACGCCAAUACCGCAUACGACCUACGGGUGAAAGCAGGGGAUCUUCGGACCUUGCGCGAUUGAAUGAGGCGAUGUCGGAUUAGCGAGUUGGCGGGGUAAAGGCCCACCAAGGCGACGAUCCGUAGCUGGUCUGAGAGGAUGAUCAGUCACACUGGAACUGAGACACAGUCCAGACUCCUACGGGAGGCAGCAGUGGGGAAUAUUGGACAAUGGGCGCAAGCCUGAUCCAGCCAUACCGCGUGGGUGAAGAAGGCCUUCGGGUUGUAAAGCCCUUUUGUUGGGAAAGAAAAGCAGCAGGUUAAUACCCCGCUGUUCUGACGGUACCCAAAGAAUAAGCACCGGCUAACUUCGUG